rnacentral:rRNA from 1 species
GAUGAACGCUGGCGGCGUGCCUAAUACAUGCAAGUCGAGCGAACGGACGAGAAGCUUGCUUCUCUGAUGUUAGCGGCGGACGGGUGAGUAACACGUGGAUAACCUACCUAUAAGACUGGGAUAACUUCGGGAAACCGGAGCUAAUACCGGAUGAUAUUUUGAACCGCAUGGUUCAAAAGUGAAAGACGGUCUUGCUGUCACUUAUAGAUGGAUCCGCGCUGCAUUAGCUAGUUGGUAAGGUAACGGCUUACCAAGGCAACGAUGCAUAGCCGACCUGAGAGGGUGAUCGGCCACAUUGGAACUGAGACAAGGUCCAGACUCCUACGGGAGGCAGCAGUAGGGAAUCUUCCGCAAUGGGCGAAAGCCUGACGGAGCAACGCCGCGUGAGUGAUGAAGGUCUUCGGAUCGUAAAACUCUGUUAUUCGGGAAGAACAUAUGUGUAAGUAACUGUGCACAUCUUGACGGUACCUAAUCAGAAAGCCACGGCUAACUACGUG